AUGAACGCUGGCGGCGUGCCUAAUACAUGCAAGUCGAGCGAACAGACGAGGAGCUUGCUCCUCUGACGUUAGCGGCGGACGGGUGAGUAACACGUGGAUAACCUACCUAUAAGACUGGGAUAACUUCGGGAAACCGGAGCUAAUACCGGAUAAUAUAUUGAACCGCAUGGUUCAAUAGUGAAAGACGGUUUUGCUGUCACUUAUAGAUGGAUCCGCGCCGCAUUAGCUAGUUGGUAAGGUAACGGCUUACCAAGGCAACGAUGCGUAGCCGACCUGAGAGGGUGAUCGGCCACACUGGAACUGAGACACGGUCCAGACUCCUACGGGAGGCAGAAGUAGGGAAUCUUCCGCAAUGGGCGAAAGCCUGACGGAGAAACGCCGCGUGAGUGAUGAAGGUCUUCGGAUCGUAAAACUCUGUUAUUAGGGAAGAACAAAUGUGUAAGUAACUAUGCACGUCUUGACGGUACCUAAUCAGAAAGCCACGGCUAACUACGUG
rnacentral:rRNA from 1 species